CCUACGGGAUGCUGCAGUGAGGAAUAUUGGUCAAUGGACGAGAGUCUGAACCAGCCAAGUAGCGUGAAGGAUGACUGCCCUAUGGGUUGUAAACUUCUUUUAUAUGGGAAUAAAAUGUUCCACGUGUGGGAUUUUGUAUGUACCAUAUGAAUAAGGAUCGGCUAACUCCGUGCCAGCAGCCGCGGUAAUAAGGAGGAUCCGAGCGUUAUCCGGAUUUAUUGGGUUUAAAGGGAGCGUAGGUGGAUUGUUAAGUCAGUUGUGAAAGUUUGCGGCUCAACCGUAAAAUUGCAGUUGAAACUGGCAGUCUUGAGUACAGUAGAGGUGGGCGGAAUUCGUGGUGUAGCGGUGAAAUGCUUAGAUAUCACGAAGAACUCCGAUUGCGAAGGCAGUUCACUGGACUGCAACUGACACUGAGGCUCGAAAGUGUGGGUAUCAAACAGGAUUAGAUACCCGAGUAGUC
rnacentral:rRNA from 1 species